AGAGAGAGACAUGCGCGCAUAUCAAUAAGCGGAGGAAAAGAAACUAACAAGGAUUCCCUUAGUAACGGCGAGUGAAGCGGGAAGAGCUCAAAUUUGAAAUCUUCAAGGUUCUACCUUGGACGAAUUGUAGUUUAUAGAAGUGUUUUCUGUUAGUGGAGUGGCAAAAGUUCUUUGGAAUAGGACAUCAUAGAGGGUGAGAAUCCCGUAUUUGGUCAUUCCUCCUAGCGUUGUGAUACACUUUCAACGAGUCGGAUUGUUUGGGAAUGCAGUCCAAAAUGGGUGGUAAAUUUCAUCUAAAGCUAAAUAUUGGCGAGAGACCGAUAGCGAACAAGUACCGUGAGGGAAAGAUGAAAAGAACUUUGAAAAGAGAGUUAAACAGUACGUGAAAUUGUCAAAAGGGAAGCGUUUGACACCAGUGUUGUUUUUCCGAAAAUCAAUUACGAAUGUUUUGUUUUUGAGGAGUUAUGACUUCAUCGGCUUGCUCCUUUCUUUACGAAACUUUCUUAAUGCACUUUUCGGUUAACAAGUCAACAUCAAUUUCUUUUGUUGUAAAAGGGUAUGAGGAAGGUGGCUUUCUUUUCGGAGAAAGUGUUUAUAGCCUUGUGCCUCUGCAAUCGGAGAGAUUGAGGUCUGCAGCGUAGAUCCUUCGGGGUUAGAUACAUUUGUGCUAAGUUAUAGCCUUUUCAUAGACAACUUGUUGACUAUGAUUUAGUCAUUGUAGCUUACUCGCUUAUGCUAUUUUACCUACGCUUAGGAUGUUGAUAGUCACAGCGUGUAC
rnacentral:rRNA from 1 species